rnacentral:rRNA from 1 species
UUAUACGACCGUACCGCAAACCGACACUGGUGCGCGAGAUGAGUAUUCUAAGGCGCUUGAGAGAACUCAGGAGAAGGAACUCGGCAAAUUGACACCGUAACUUCGGAAGAAGGUGUGCCCUAUUAGUGUGUAGUGAACAACGAAGCAUGAAUGGGUUGCAAAAAAUCGGUGGCUGCGACUGUUUAUUAAAAACACAGCACUCUGCAAACACGAAAGUGGACGUAUAGGGUGUGACGCCUGCCCGGUGCUGGAAGAUUAAAUGAUGGGGUGCAAGCUCUUGAUUGAAGUCCCAGUAAACGGCGGCCGUAACAAUAACGGUCCUAAGGUAGCGAAAUUCCUUGUCGGGUAAGUUCCGACCUGCACGAAUGGCGUAACGAUGGCCACACUGUCUCCUCCUGAGACUCAGCGAAGUUGAAAUGUUUGUGAUGAUGCAAUCUCCCCGCGGAAAGACGGAAAGACCCCAUGAACCUUUACUGUAGCUUUGUAUUGGACUUUGAACAGAUCUGUGUAGGAUAGGUGGGAGGCUUUGAAGCAGGGUCGCUAGAUCUUGUGGAGCCAACGUUGAAAUACCACCCUGGUGUGUUUGAGGUUCUAACCUAGGUCCAUUAUCUGGAUCGGGGACAGUGCAUGGUAGGCAGUUUGACUGGGGCGGUCUCCUCCCAAAGCGUAACGGAGGAGUUCGAAGGUACGCUAGUUACGGUCGGACAUCGUGACGAUAGUGCAAUGGCAUAAGCGUGCUUAACUGCGAGACUGACAAGUCGAGCAGAUGCGAAAGCAGGACAUAGUGAUCCGGUGGUUCUGUAUGGAAGGGCCAUCGCUCAACGGAUAAAAGGUACUCUGGGGAUAACAGGCUGAUACCGCCCAAGAGUUCAUAUCGACGGCGGUGUUUGGCACCUCGAUGUCGGCUCAUCUCGUCCUGGGGCUGUAGCCGGUCCCAAGGGUAUGGCUGUUCGCCAUUUAAAGAGGUACGUGAGCUGGGUUUAAAACGUCGUGAGACAGUUUGGUCCCUAUCUUCCGUGGGCGCUGCAGAUUUGAGGAAGCCUGCUCCUAGUACGAGAGGACCGGAGUGGACACACCUCUGGUGUAUCGGUUGUCACGCCAGUGGCAUUGCCGAGUAGCUAAGUGUGGAAGAGAUAACCGCUGAAAGCAUCUAAGCGGGAAACUCGUUUCAAGAUGAGAUCUGCCGGGGCCUUGAGCCCCCUAAAGAGUCGUUCAAGACCAGGACGUUGAUAGGUCAGGUGUGGAAGC